rnacentral:misc_RNA from 1 species
UCCGGGUUUCGCCCGGCAGUCUCCCUAGAACAUUCAACUAAGGACAGGGGUUGCGCUCGUUGCGGGGGCUACAUCUCUGUAGCUUUCCGGCAUAUGUCAAACCCAGGUAAGGUUCUUCGCGUUGCAUCGAAUUAAUCCGCAUGCUCCGCCGCUUGUGCGGGCCCCCGUCAAUUCCUUUGAGUUUUAGCCUUGCGGCCGUACUCCCCAGGCGGGGCACUUAAUGCGUUAGCUUCGGCACGGAGAACGUGGAAUGUCCCCCACACCUAGUGCCCACCGUUUACGGCGUGGACUAC